CGGUGGUGCAGGCGCAGGUUGUGCUCGUACCCUCGGUCCGGCCUUCCGCGAGGCGCAGUCCAGCUGCACUCCCCGCGACAGUGAGGCGGGGGCUCCCGAGUUUGCGCCCUCGAGCUGCGAGGUUGGGGGCGCAGGUGAUGAUUCACCCAGCAGCUCCACGAGUUUGGCCAGGUGGUGUUUGUGUCGCGUAGCGCAGACGAUGCUGGGAACGAAAGCUGUUGAGUUGCCGGAGUCACAGGGCCGCGGGGAGCACAGCCGCUUGUCAAUCUGCGCUGGGAGUUAGGCUCUUAAUCUUCGCGUCGGUCCUCGUCCCAGAGCCUCGCAACAGAAAUAUGCAUUGCUAAAGACUGGGACAGAGUCUGACCUUUGGCUUUCAAAGUCAGAGGAGUCAAGCUCCUGUCCUUGGAUCACCAAUGCCGUCUUUUUGUGGGUUGCAAGUAUUAGAGUUUAUUUCCUAACAUCUCUGUGUUGGGCCUUAAGUUUUCACAGUUGUAGGAAAUUCAAACAUCAAGAGAAUUUAGGAUACCACCUGGCAUGUUGAGAUGAGGAUUUGGCUUAUAAUAAUGCAAAUAAUUAUAAUUUUGCUGUGUAUACCAUUUGCUCAAAUGUGUAUUUUGUUACUAAAUUAAAAUAAU